GAUGAACGCUGGCGGCGUGCUUAACACAUGCAAGUCGAACGGAAAGGCUCCUGCUUGCCGGGGUACUCGAGUGGCGAACGGGUGAGUAACACGUGGGUGAUCUGUCCUGCACUUCGGGAUAAGCCUGGGAAACUGGGUCUAAUACCGGAUAGGACGAUGGUUUGGAUGCCAUUGUGGAAAGUUUUUCGGUGUGGGAUGAGCUCGCGGCCAAUUAGCUUGUUGGUGGGGUAAUGGCAUACCAAGGCGUCGACGGGUAGCCGGCCUGAGAGGGUGUACGGCGACAUUGGUACUGAGAUACGGCCCAGAAUCCUACGGGAGGCAGCAGGGGGGAAUAUUGCACAAUGGGCGCAAGCCUGAUGCAGCGACGCCGCGUGGGGGAUGACGGCCUUCGGGUUGUAAACUCCUUUCGCUAGGGACGAAGCGCAAGUGACGGUACCUGGAGAAGAAGCACCGGCUAACUACGUG
rnacentral:rRNA from 1 species